UUUUGUGGGGUCAGCAUCUGAGAGGCUGUUGAUUUCUCCCAGGCCUCCUGGCUGCUCUCUGAGCAACUGGCAGCAUGUUUUAGUGAGGAAAUUGUCGGGGGUCCUGGGGUGUGAGCCUUGUCUCCUGUUCCACGUGACAGUAAGUCACGCGAUAAAGGACUGGCCCGUGGACUGUGAGCUGCCAACAGUGUGACUCGGUUCCAGAGGGGGUUUCUUCUCCUUUAGCCACGUCUACAGGACUGUUAACAAACAAAACAAAACACCUAGAUGUGGAUGCUGCUCUCAAGAAGCUCACUGUCCAGUGAUAACAUAAAAACAGAGGCGACUGUGAUUCAGGGUAGGGUGAACGAACAGUGCAAAGAGAAAUAAAGUUACUUGCUCAGAGUCACACUAGUCUGUGGGCCAGAUGUGAAGACAGAGCCUCAGUCCAGUUUGUUAUGAAGGUGUUGGGAAAGAAAGUGCCAUAAGCCACUUUCGUGGACACUGAAAUCAACCAGCUGACUCAAGGGCAUAGCAAGGACUCUGAAAAGCUACCAGGAGCCCCCUCGACUUGGACCAGGGUCAUGGUAUCACGGGGAGAGGAGGCUGUGUUUGUGCUACAUGGAGCUACUUCUCGUUGUUCAGAACUAACUACUGUGGAGCUAGGUAGUUUCUGUUGCACCCACCAAUGCCUUAAAAAGAUUCCAGAUGGUCAAAAUUAUCACACGUUCUCCUUGUGUAUUGAUUUAUUGGCCUGUGAGGAUUAAUUUGGUUAGAAGUCGGGAAAUAUUUUCUCUGCCAAGGAUGCUGGGCAUUGCAUCCAGCUUUUUGGCAGCAACUGACUCAUACCCAGCAUCAAAACACAGAAAAGAAGCCCCAUGAAAUGCCAGGUCUGUGAUUCCUUGGUCCGGGAGAAAAUCAGCCAUCAUAACACUCUUUUCUACAGAACCUAACAAACAAUGGAGAGGAGUUAUGGGUGGACUGACAUUCCUCUAUUUUCACUGACGGUAUUAGGCUGUACUGGCAAGAUUUGCUGGAUUUUAACGAAUGAUAUAUCCCUGCAGUAGUCUCAGGAGCUACAGUGUAAUUCGGAACACAUUUCG